CUACGGGCUGCUGCAGUGAGGAAUAUUGCACAAUGGGGGGAACCCUGAUGCAGCAACGCCGCGUGGAGGAUGACGCAUUUCGGUGUGUAAACUCCUUUCAUAUGUCAAGAAAAUGACGGUAGCAUAUGAAUAAGCGCCGGCUAACUCCGUGCCAGCAGCCGCGGUAAUACGGAGGGCGCAAGCGUUACUCGGAAUCACUGGGCGUAAAGGACGCGUAGGCGGGUUGGAAAGUCAGGUGUGAAAUCCUACAGCUUAACUGUAGAACUGCACUUGAAACUUCUAAUCUAGAGUAUGGGAGGGGGAGAUGGAAUUAGUGGUGUAGGGGUAAAAUCCGUAGAUAUCACUAGGAAUACCUAAAGCGAAGGCGAUCUCCUGGAACAUUACUGACGCUAAGGCGUGAAAGCGUGGGGAGCAAACAGGAUUAGAUACCCUCGUAGUC
rnacentral:rRNA from 1 species